rnacentral:misc_RNA from 1 species
UUUCCGUAGGUGAACCUGCGGAAGGAUCAUUACCAAAAAAACCAAUCACAAGACAGAAAUAUGCGCAAGCGUGUUUCUGUCACUUGUGUGUUGAACCCCUUGUGUGAACACUGUUUUCUAUGUGCUUGCCCAACGCGCUGUAUCUAUGCAAAAAGUAUUUUUUGCACGGGUGGCUGUUGUGCUUGCACAUGAUCAACACCACAUAACUAUAAAAUACCAAUCUUUUGGACUCAAAAUAUAUAUUUUGCUGAAAAACAUAAGAAUCAAAAAAAUAUACAACUUUUAACAACGGAUCUCUAGGCUCUC